GGCGCCAUCGUCUAUCGGUUAGGACAUGUGCUUCUCAAGCACAGAAGCGGGGUUCGAUUCCCCGUGGCGCUG
rnacentral:tRNA from 1 species